UCGCGUUACUGCAUUCCAAAGGAACCUCAUCAAGGGCGGUCACCGAGAUCCACGCGGGUACACCUGGAGCAUUGGGCGUUCCCUCGUGCUGCUACGAGACUCGACAAGAAAUGCAGUUGCUGGUCUGGACGAAAGCGAUGUCGAGCCAAAUUCUUGUCAGGAGGAAGCCGAAUACAACCCGGAUUUUCACGAAGCUCAGGGAGAGGAAGAUCGGAGGUAGUGAAAAUCAACGUCCAAAAUACCGACCAUCUACCGUACAUAGAGCUGCCGGAGUUUCAAGGAUCCUCAUCGCAGGAGCAAUCAUGCUCUGUUCAAGAGGUGACGUAAUCCUUAAUCCUGUUAACAACAAUCCGGGAAUCCUUUUGCUUAAACAAGGGCGGAUAAUGAAACAAAUAGAUAUUUUUAAUUUAGCAUGUGUGUAUAACAUGACUUAUUUGCAGUCAACCAUUAAUGAGUUAGCGACAUUAUUCACAAGCAUAAAUACCACAGAAUUGUAUACAAUGCAUACAGAUCAAGUGCAAAAUUCUUUUAGAGCUCAAAUAGAACAUAAUCUAUCUAUAGUGAAUAGAAAAAUUGAUUAUAUUAUUCCCCAGAAUGUUAGGCGCAAACGAGGUCUUAUUAACGGUUUAGGCUCAGUUAUAAAGUCCAUAACAGGUAAUCUAGAUCAACAAGACGCUCUUAAAUUUGAAGCUGAUAUUUUGGCCAUUAAAAACAAGGUUACUUCUAUGCAAAAGGUUCAAAAGAAGACAUUAGUAAUAGCC